AACGAACGCUGGCGGCAUGCCUAACACAUGCAAGUCGAACGAGACCUUCGGGUCCAGUGGCGCACGGGUGCGUAACGCGUGGGAACCUGCCCUUAGGUUCGGAAUAACUCCCCGAAAGGGGUGCUAAUACCGGAUAAUGUCUUCGGACCAAAGAUUUAUCGCCUUUGGAUGGGCCCGCGUUGGAUUAGCUAGUUGGUAGGGUAAAAGCCUACCAAGGCGACGAUCCAUAGCUGGUCUGAGAGGAUGAUCAGCCACACUGGGACUGAGACACGGCCCAGACUCCUACGGGAAGCAGCAGUGGGGAAUAUUGGACAAUGGGCGAAAGCCUGAUCCAGCAAUGCCGCGUGAGUGAUGAAGGCCUUAGGGUUGUAAAGCUCUUUUACCCGGGAUGAUAAUGACAGUACCGGGAGAAUAAGCUCCGGCUAACUCCGUG
rnacentral:rRNA from 1 species